CGAGACCACAGCAGAAGAGGAAACAGGAGGAGCCUGAGACCUUUCUUGGUUUUUGAGGUGCUUACUCCACUGCAGCUCGUGCUUUGCAUGUAGAUGCCUGGUCAUGCAGGUUGUGCUCAGGUUUAGAACGUUUAUGCCUCGCUUCAGGCUCUGAUUACACAGCGUGCAAACCACUCGUACUUGUCGUCAGCACAUUGUCUGAAGAACU